rnacentral:rRNA from 1 species
AGAUCGAACGCUGGCGGCAUGCCUAACACAUGCAAGUCGAACGGGAGUAGCAAUACUCUAGUGGCGGACGGGUGAGGAAUACGUAGGAAUUUGCCCUUAAGUGGGGGAUAACCCGGGGAAACCCGGAUUAAUACCGCAUGACCUCGAAAGAGCAAAGUGGGGGAUCGCAAGACCUCACGCUUUUGGAGAAGCCUACGUCGA